AUUGAACGCUAGCGGCAUGCCUAACACAUGCAAGUCGAGCGGAGCGGCGGACGGGUGAGUAAUGACUAGGAAGCUGCCCGGUAGUGGGGGAUAACUUCGGGAAACGGGAGCUAAUACCGCAUACUAUCAGCUCAGCCUAGGUCGGAUUAGAUCGUUGGUGGGGUAAAGGCCUACCAAGGCGACGAUCCGUAACUGGGAGGAGAGGAGGAUCAGUCACACUGUGACUGAGACACGGUCCAGACUCCUACGGGAGGCAGCAGUGGGGAAUAUUGGACAAUGGGCGAAAUCCGGAUCCAGCAAGGCCGCGUGUGUGACGAAGGUCUUCGGAUUGUAAAGCACUUUUGGGUUGGAUGCGUUACCAACAGGAUAAGCACCGGCUAACUACGUGCCAGCAGCCGCGGUAAUAC
rnacentral:rRNA from 1 species